GCGCACGGGUGAGUAGCGCGUGGGAACCUGCCCUUUGGUUCGGAAUAACCUCGGGAAACUGUGGCUAAUACCGAAUGUGGCCCUACGGGGGAAAGAUUUAUCGCCAAAGGAGGGGCCCGCGUCCGAUUAGGUAGUUGGUGAGGUAACGGCUCACCAAGCCUGUGAUCGGUAGCUGGUCUGAGAGGAUGAUCAGCCACACUGGGACUGAGACACGGCCCAGACUCCUACGGGAGGCAGCAGUGGGGAAUAUUGGACAAUGGGGGCAACCCUGAUCCAGCAAUGCCGCGUGAGUGAUGAAGGCCUUCGGGUUGUAAAGCUCUUUCGCCCACGACGAUGGUGACGGUAGUGGGAGAAGAAGCCCCGGCUAACUUCGUGCCAGCAGCCGCGGUAAUACGAAGGGGGCUAGCGUUGUUCGGAGUUACUGGGCGUAAAGGGCGCGUAGGCGGCUGUCCAAGUCGGGUGUGAAAGCCCAGGGCUCAACCCUGGAUGUGCACUCGAGACUGGCUGGCUAGAGGACGGGAGAGGAUGGUGGAAUUCCCAGUGUAGAGGUGAAAU
rnacentral:rRNA from 1 species